CAGCCGCCGCGGUAAUACGAAGGGGGCUAGCGUUGCUCGGAAUUACUGGGCGUAAAGGGCGCGUAGGCGGACAUUUAAGUCAGAGGUGAAAGCCCAGGGCUCAACCUUGGAACUGCCUUUGAUACUGGGUGUCUUGAGUUCGGGAGAGGUGUGUGGAACGCCGAGUGUAGAGGUGAAAUUCGUAGAUAUUCGGCAGAACACCAGUGGCGAAGGCGACACACUGGCCCGAUACUGACGCUGAGGCGCGAAAGCGUGGGGAGCAAACAGGAUUAGAUACCCGCGUAGUCCCUGUCUCUUAUAC
rnacentral:rRNA from 1 species